GUUCUCAUCUCUUUUUGCCUUGUAUAAAACCCCUGCGUGCCCUUGAACCCCAAACCUACGAUUUCAUCCAUUAAUUAGUGUUUUUGUUUGGCAAUAUGAGUGAUUACAAGUACGGCCACCCCUAUCCUCCUCCAGGAGGUUAUACUUAUAAUCAAGGGCCUCCUCCACCAGUAAUGGCACCUCCUCAGUAUUAUGGUGCCCCACCACCGCCACCCAGGAGAGAACCAGGUUUUCUUGAGGGAUUCCUUGCAGCUUUAUGUUGUUGCUGUCUCUUGGAUGAUUGCUGCUGCGACCCGUCUGUGAUAAUUGUGGACUAGGGAUCUUACAUCACCUUACUGUUUAUCUAAAGCUUUGACAACAGUAUGAUUUCAUCACACAUGUAUUUAUAUUUUGCCGAUGGAGUUGACAAAUCUAUUUGUGUAUAGUAAUAUGUGAAGCUUAGAUAUUCUCAAUGACACUUUCGAUUUUACAAUGUAGAACAAAAUGGGAAAAAUAAUCGCAUCUUGCAAAAUAUUAUAUUAUUACUGUUGGUAUUUUUCAUAAUGGUUCAUAUUUGAGGUUUGUAAUUGUUUGUUCUAAUAAUGUCAUCUCUAAAGUUCAGUACCCAAAA